UACGUAGGGUCCAAGCGUUAUCCGGAAUCACUGGGCGUAAAGCGCGCGCAGGCGGUCUUCCAAGUCAGUGGUGAAAGCCCGGAGCUCAACUCCGGAACUGCCAUUGAAACUGUGAGACUUGAGUAUGAGAGAGGUGAGUGGAAUUCCCAGUGUAGAGGUGAAAUUCGUAGAUAUUGGGAAGAACACCGGUGGCGAAGGCGGCUCACUGGCUCAUUACUGACGCUCAGGCGCGACAGCGUGGGGAUCAAACAGG
rnacentral:rRNA from 1 species